UGAACGCUGGCGGCGUGCCUAAUACAUGCAAGUCGAGCGAACAGACGAGGAGCUUGCUCCUCUGACGUUAGCGGCGGACGGGUGAGUAACACGUGGAUAACCUACCUAUAAGACUGGGAUAACUUCGGGAAACCGGAGCUAAUACCGGAUAAUAUAUUGAACCGCAUGGUUCAAUAGUGAAAGACGGUUUUGCUGUCACUUAUAGAUGGAUCCGCGCCGCAUUAGCUAGUUGGUAAGGUAACGGCUUACCAAGGCAACGAUGCGUAGCCGACCUGAGAGGGUGAUCGGCCACACUGGAACUGAGACACGGUCCAGACUCCUACGGGAGGCAGCAGUAGGGAAUCUUCCGCAAUGGGCGAAAGCCUGACGGAGCAACGCCGCGUGAGUGAUGAAGGUCUUCGGAUCGUAAAACUCUUUUAUUAGGGAAGAACAAAUGUGUAAGUAACUAUGCACGUCUUGACGGUACCUAAUCAGAAAGCCACGGCUAACUACGUG
rnacentral:rRNA from 1 species